GAUUACAGCACAGCAGGCCUCCCUGUCCCUCACCAUCUCCCUGAGUUCACCAAAGUUCAUGUCCAUUGACUCUGUGAUGCCAUCCAAUCAUCUCUUCCUUUGCUGCCCUCUUCUCCUAUGGCCUUCAAUCUUCCCCAGGAUCAGAGUCUUUCCCAGAUUAACACAGGACUGAAUGAGAAGCACAUGCCAGAUGUCAGUGCCAGAAGAGUAGUAACUGAUCACUGAACAGUGUUAGUCAUCCAAGAGGUGGGCAUGCCCAGUAUUAUCAAUGGGAGCUGCUACAAGCCAAGUAAAGGAGGAAUGGCAUCAAGAACAAGCUGAAAACAGGAUUUUGCAUGACUGGCAAAGGAGAAGAAACAAAGUAACAAGCACAGCCAUUUAGGAAGUCAUCCUCAAAAUGACCCACUGUCCAGAUGGACUUACUGCAGCCUCGGUCAGGUCUCUCGGGUCCCGUGCCAUUUUGAAAAUACUGACUAUGCUUUCCUGUGCU
ensembl:lncRNA